rnacentral:rRNA from 1 species
CCUAUUCUUGUGAAGCAGAAUUACACAAUGGAUAUGAUUGUUCACCAAUCUAACAGGGAACGUGAGCUGGGUUUAGACCGUCGUGAGACAGGUUAGUUUUACCCUACUGAUGAAACGAUGUUGCGACAGUAAUUCAACUUAGUACGAGAGGAACCGUUGAAUCAGAUACUUGGUUAAUACGGUUAGCUGAAAAGCUAGUGCCGUGAAGCUACCAUCUGUAGGAUUAUGACUGAACGCCUCUAAGUCAGAAUCCAUGCUGGAAAGCAACGUCUAAUCAAUAAUAAAUGAAAAAGCAUAGGUUUUUACCUUAGUUCAAAUAAAUGGCUUAAGCGACCUCUCGGAACAGAGUUGGUUCGUAAGAGCUGAAUCAUAAUUUCGAAUUAUUAUUGACACAAAUCCUCUGUAGACG